GAUGAACGCUGGCGGCGUGCCUAAUACAUGCAAGUCGAGCGAACAGACGAGGAGCUUGCUCCUCUGACGUUAGCGGCGGACGGGUGAGUAACACGUGGAUAACCUACCUAUAAGACUGGGAUAACUUCGGGAAACCGGAGCUAAUACCGGAUAAUAUAUUGAACCGCAUGGUUCAAUAGUGAAAGACGGUUUUGCUGUCUCUUAUAGAUGGAUCCGCGCCGCAUUAGCUAGUUGGUAAGGUAACGGCUUACCAAGGCAACGAUGCGUAGCCGACCUGAGAGGGUGAUCGGCCACACUGGAACUGAGACACGGUCCAGACUCCUACGGGAGGCAGCAGUAGGGAAUCGUCCGCAAUGGGCGAAAGCCUGACGGAGCAACGCCGCGUGAGUGAUGAAGGUCUUCGGAUCGUAAAACUCUGUUAUUAGGGAAGAACAAAUGUGUAAGUAACUAUGCACGUCUUGACGGUACCUAAUCAGAAAGCCACGGCUAACUACGUG
rnacentral:rRNA from 1 species